ACCGUACAGCGCGACCCGAGCAUAGAAAACCUUCCUCCUACCUAUGCUCCGGUUUCCUGGACCUCCCCGGAAGAUUAAACCCAUUAACUUACCACAAACAUCAACAAAGUUUCAUGCAGCAAUUCUACCCUAAAGACUUGUUUCAUAUAAUCUCUUCUGAACAGUUCAUGUCGAGAUGUUCUUGCUGCUAGAGCUUUGUGAAGCUUCAGCUGUAAUCGGUGGUGCUGCGAAGCAGGGAAGUGUGGAAGUCAGAGCGGAAGGCAGACUGUUGGGGUUGUUUGCGAGUCCAGUCAUUCUGUCCCUCAGCUCCGGCUUCCACGCUUCCCUGCAUCCAGCAAACUGAAUACCCCAAGUACCUCAUAUCUGAUGACGGAAGGGGUUACCAGCACAGUGGGAGCCACCCGCCUUCAAGAGGAGAACUACUCCCUCCUGGAUAUCCAUAAGUAGUGGAGGAGUAAUCCCACAGUCUGGAGGAUCCCCAAGGCAGAGGUUAUCUUGUGGGAGGCAGGGAAGGUGCCCGUAAGACUCACCUUGGAUGCGGAUCCCAGGAGGCAGAUAAGGUUCGGCGCUUAGUGUCUGAUAUCGCUCCUCCUGUCUGCCCUUGUCCUUCGCCAUACUUGCCUUUUUGUUUUGGCUUCUUGCGGUCUUGUUUCCCUGCUCCUGUUUAGUUCAAUAAACCACCUUUGUUCGCUAAA